rnacentral:rRNA from 1 species
AUCUAGCUUGCUAGAUAUGAUUAGUGGCGGACGGGUGAGUAACAUUUAGGAAUCUGCCUAGUAGUGGGGGAUAGCUCGGGGAAACUCGAAUUAAUACCGCAUACGACCUACGGGUGAAAGGGGGCGCAAGCUCUUGCUAUUAGAUGAGCCUAAAUCAGAUUAGCUAGUUGGUGGGGUAAAGGCCCACCAAGGCGACGAUCUGUAACUGGUCUGAGAGGAUGAUCAGUCACACCGGAACUGAGACACGGUCCGGACUCCUACGGGAGGCAGCAGUGGGGAAUAUUGGACAAUGGGGGCAACCCUGAUCCAGCCAUGCCGCGUGUGUGAAGAAGGCCUUUUGGUUGUAAAGCACUUUAAGCAGGGAGGAGAGGCUAAUGGUUAAUACCCAUUAGAUUAGACGUUACCUGCAGAAUAAGCACCGGCUAACUCUGUGCCAGCAGCCGCGGUAAUACAGAGGGUGCGAGCGUUAAUCGGAAUUACUGGGCGUAAAGCGAGUGUAGGUGGCUCAUUAAGUCACAUGUGAAAUCCCCGGGCUUAACCUGGGAACUGCAUGUGAUACUGGUGGUGCUAGAAUAUGUGAGAGGGAAGUAGAAUUCCAGGUGUAGCGGUGAAAUGCGUAGAGAUCUGGAGGAAUACCGAUGGCGAAGGCAGCUUCCUGGCAUAAUAUUGACACUGAGAUUCGAAAGCGUGGGUAGCAAACAGGAUUAGAUACCCUGGUAGUCCACGCCGUAAACGAUGUCUACUAGCCGUUGGGGUCCUUGAGACUUUAGUGGCGCAGUUAACGCGAUUAAGUAGACCGCCUGGGGAGUACGGCCGCAAGGUUAAAACUCAAAUGAAUUGACGGGGGCCCGCACAAGCGGUGGAGCAUGUGGUUUAAUUCGAUGCAACGCGAAGAACCUUACCUGGUCUUGACAUAGUGAGAAUCCUGCAGAGAUGCGGGAGUGCCUUCGGGAAUUCACAUACAGGUGCUGCAUGGCUGUCGUCAGCUCGUGUCGUGAGAUGUUGGGUUAAGUCCCGCAACGAGCGCAACCCUUUUCCUUAUUUGCCAGCGGGUUAAGCCGGGAACUUUAAGGAUACUGCCAGUGACAAACUGGAGGAAGGCGGGGACGACGUCAAGUCAUCAUGGCCCUUACGACCAGGGCUACACACGUGCUACAAUGGUAGGUACAGAGGGUUGCUACACAGCGAUGUGAUGCUAAUCUCAAAAAGCCUAUCGUAGUCCGGAUUGGAGUCUGCAACUCGACUCCAUGAAGUCGGAAUCGCUAGUAAUCGCAGAUCAGAAUGCUGCGGUGAAUACGUUCCCGGGCCUUGUACACACCGCCCGUCACACCAUGGGAGUCUAUUGCACCAGAAGUA